rnacentral:rRNA from 1 species
CCGACUAAGGUGCCCUCUUGGGGAACUCUGUAGCACAGCGUCGCUGCAUGGCUGUCGUCAGCUCGUGUUGUGAAAUGUUGGGUUAAGUCCCGCAACGAGCGCAACCCUUAUCAUUUGUUGCCAGCGAUUAAGUCGGGAACUCAAAUGAGACUGCCGGUGAUAUGACGUCAAGUCAUCAUGGCCCUUACGAGUAGGGCUACACACGUGCUACAAUGGCAUAUACAAAGAGAAGCGAUCUUGUAAGAGUUAGCGGACCUCAUAAAAUAUGUCGUAGUUCGGAUUGGAGUCUGCAACUCGACUCCAUAAAGUCGGAAUCGCUAGUAAUCGUGGAUCAGAAUGCCACGGUGAAUACGUUCCCGGGUCUGC